AUUUUGUAUGGGAAGUUGAAACCCAUCUUCUGUUGCUUUUUGUGCAGGUGCUUCUAGAGAGAGAGGAGGAGCAGAUUGCUUCAUCAGAGAUGCCAUGGCAGACUCAGGGAAAGCUGUUCCCAGCCCAAGAGCAGGAAGAGCAGCUCGGGCAGCAGGUGGAAGAACCACAGGAGAAAGGCCAGGUAAGCCUGACUAGCCAGGGCACAGAGGGAAGGGCAGGGAGAGGGGCAUAAACCAGAGCUCUUGGGACUGAGGAGGCCAGGAAUCCCUCAGGCACUAGAAGCACAGAGCCUUGGAAUCUGCAGAGAUUAGCCCUGGACAGGAGGUUUGCAAUGGAAGCAGAUGUGGGUAGGGAGGCAGAAAGAAGUGGCUGAAUAAAUGUGAUUUUGAGGCUGCAAGAGGAAAAAAACUGAGCCUGAGCAAGAGUCACUUGUCCUGCAUUUGUGUGCACAGAAGAUCAAGGAAGAGCCACAAGCAGAGCUGCCCGAAGCUCAGAGUGCCAUCAUGGAUGUGAAGAGAAAGAACAAGGAAGACAUGGGAAGAAUUCAAGAGGAGAAUCUCCAUCAGCAGAGGGGCGAUCAACAAAACCAGGUGAGUGAAAGAGUGGCAGGCGCUCCACUCAUGAAACAUCCUCUCGCUUGCUUUUUAGAGAAGAUGAAGGCACAGCUGAACACAGAGCUUCAGACAGCUGACACUAGGAUCAAGACAAGGCAGAAGAGGCUGGAGGAUGAAAUGAAAAUCAUCAGGGAGAAACUUAAUUGUUUCCCUCAUUCUCUACAAAAGCAAGAGCAAGAGUUGACAUCUGACCGGGCAGCCUGCAAAGACUCCCAGCAAAUGUCUGGCAAUGAAGGGCCCCAGGUUUGGAGUGAGGCACAGGAACAGUGCCCACCAGAGAUGCUCCAGGUCCAGCACAUCAAGGGCUUUGAACCUGCUGCCUCAGCAGCAUUGCCUGGAAGAAGCCUUUCUAUCAAACCUGGGACCUCAAGCUUGGGCAGUUCCUUCCUCUCUCCGGAACAGGAGACUGAGAAGAGGUACCUGGAAAUGCUGGGUAUGUCUGGGAUGUUUCUUGUCUGAGGGACAGUGCAUUGUGUGCAGAGCUGUACCAAA
rnacentral:lncRNA from 1 species